rnacentral:rRNA from 1 species
GUACACGCUGUGACUAGCAUAUCAAUAAGCGGAGGAAAAGAAACUAACUAGGAUUCCCUCAGUAACGGCGAGUGAAGCGGGAAGAGCUCAAAUUUGAAAUCUUCAAGGUUCUACCUUGACGAAUUGUAGUUUAAAGAAGUGUUUUCUGCUGAAGUUUUGGUAAAAGUUCUUUGGAAUAGGACAUCAUAGAGGGUGAGAAUCCCGUAUUUGACCAUUAUUUUCAGCUUUGUGAUACACUUUCAAAGAGUCGGAUUGUUUGGGAAUGCAGUCCAAAAUGGGUGGUAAAUUUCAUCUAAAGCUAAAUAUUGGCGAGAGACCGAUAGCGAACAAGUACCGUGAGGGAAAGAUGAAAAGAACUUUGAAAAGAGAGUUAAACAGUACGUGAAAUUGUCAAAAGGGAAGCGUUUGACACCAGUGUUGUUUUCUCGAAAAUCAAUUAAAAAUGGCUCGAUUUUGUAUUGCUUAAGACCUUAAAAGCUCACUGUACAUUUUUCGUGUCUUUUUUAAUGCACUUUUCGUUUAACAAGUCAGCAUCAGUUUCUUUUGUUGUAAAAGGGUCAUUGGAAGGUGGCUUUCUUUUCGGAGAAAGUGUUUAUAGCCUUUGGCCUCUGCAAUCGGAGAGACUGAGGUCUGCAGCGUAGACUCUUCGGGGUUAGAUACAUUUGUGCUAAGUUAUAGCUUUUUAUAGACAACUUGUUGACUAUAAUUAGUCUUGUAGCUUACUCGCUUAUGCUAUUUUACCUACGCUUAGGAUGUUGAUCUACAGAGCGAGAGU